CGUCCGACGCUCAGGCCGAACGGACGUAUAAAAUUCUAAGCGCUCCCCUCGUCGCGUAGUAAAAUAAUGUUCGUACAGUUAUCGUGUAACUAAAAAAAUACUAAAAGUAAAACUAAAAAUUGUUUGAUUUGUUGUGUAAAAGUGACAGUUUUAAAAACAAGAUUUAGACAGCUUCUCAAUCAUCUUAUAUCGUCUUAGAAAAAAGGUACAAGUGAGCAGUGCAAGUGAGUCAGUGAUGAGUGCCAAGUGAGUGUGUCAGUGAGUGAUGGAGGCUACUCCGCUGCCGCUGGAGGUGGACGAGGAGGGCCGUCCUCCGCAGGGCUCCUCCACUGGAAGCGGCUCGUCUUCUGGUACUGGAUACUAUGCUCAUAAGAACGGUGAAUGGCGAGGGGAGAGAAGGAUGCUGGACAUCACUAGAGAUAAGCCGGUCAAAGUGUGCGUCCGAGUCGUGGUGCCCGUUCGGGAUCAUCCAAAAUUCAAUUUCGUGGGCAAGCUGCUAGGACCCAAAGGCAACUCCUUGAAGAGGUUACAAGAAGACACCAUGUGCAAGAUGGCUGUCUUAGGCCGAGGGUCCAUGAAAGAUCGACAGAAGGAGGAAGAGCUCCGUGUAUCCGGAGACCCGAAGUUCGCGCAUCUGUCAGAUGAACUGCACGUGGAGAUCAGCGCGUUCGCGACGCCCGCUGAGGCGCACGCGCGGAUCGCGUACGCACUUGCUGAACUCAGGCGGUUUCUAGUACCGGACUAUAAUGAUGACAUCAGACAGGAACAGAUGCUGGAGAUGCAGAUCCUAUCCUCUCAGAGCGAGCAGCGACGGCUGACGCCUCCGGAGUCCUCCCGGAGCGGCAGUGAGGAGGCUCUCCCUCUUAGAGAUACUACGCAUAAACAGAGAUUGUCAGGAGUACCACCAUCACCAGCGCCCGCCUCCCUGCCGGGUGGUAUCGCCAUCAACCACGGCGCAAAUGCUCGGGAUUUCUCCCCGCCGGCGCCCACUCCGGCACCUGAUCAUCUUUCUGCUGCCCAUCAUCAGCUGGCAGCUGGUCACACGGGUCACGGAGUCCUGGUCGGAGGGGGGGUGCUGCAACAACCCCCCACUCACCAUCUACUCACACAGAACUCUAUACUCGGUGGCGGGGAUAUCUUGGGGCUGAGCAGCCCAGUGCUGGGCGGUGUGCUCCAUGCUCACCCGGCUCUGAGGGGGGUGAAGCCUGCUGCAGUCCACGCUCUCGCCACGCAAGGUCGGUGCGGCUGGGCCGGGGGCUGCGAGUACGGCCCGCAAGCGGCCCCUGCUGGGAGGCACCCGGGCCGCAAUGUCGCCGACUAAACGCGCCGUGAUGACCCUGUUAGCGCGCGCUAGGGCCGCCACACACAAACAUGCGCCUGCGUGGCCCGCGCCUCAUGAGCACACAACCCUACUACCAAUUAUAAGGGACGAGUUCGUCACAGGCGUUGGUCUCAAUAUCAACCUAGCAUAAUUGUACCUAGUCAAAUGAUACCCUAGGCUCUACUCUAGUCGAAUCAAUAAAUCGAAUUAAUUUUAAGCUAAAUAAUUUAUUCGUACCUGCUUUGUGACAAAUAUGUAUAUUGUUUUGUUUAUAAAUAUAUAUGUAUUAUGUAUAAAGUGUUCUUACAGAUUAAAUGUGUUAAGGUAUUAAGAUGAUUCCUGUCGAGUGUCAAAUAUAAAGAUUUGUUUGAAAAUUUACUUUUUGCUAUCGUUUGGGCCUAAUAUAAAUAUGUCAACUAUGUAUUACUGUGGAAUUACUACUAUUAACUUGGUAAACGGUAAGCCGAUACUUCAACGAGGCUUCUGAAAAUAAAAUUAUUGACACGCAGUGACUUAAGCAUAAAGGCACUUCAGAAACUACUACUUUUGAAAUCCAUAUUUUAUUUUGCCGCCUUCAUUGGUAAAAAAACUUGGCAGAAUAACUUUUGCCUUUUUCUAAUUAUUUAAAAUUUUGACACUCGACUUACAUAUUUUUCGCUCACUGUGCAAGAUAAAAGGGUGUGAUUAUUUUCCUAGAUUAUAAUUAAAAUUAAAUAAACUACAGUCAAAGUCGGAAUAAGUAUUGAUUUCGUUACCUAAGCAGCGAUGACGAACUUUGAUGACGAAAAUCAAACUCAUUAAGAACACAAGAAUUCUGACUAAUUACUGUUCGUCAUGAAUAUUAUAUGCAAUGUUAGGUUUUGUUUUAAAUAUGUAAUAAUAAUAGUUAUAAAAUAAAGAUAUUAUAAAUAUUAUUUUAGAAAAAUAUGGUGUUCUAUGAGAAGAAGGAUAAUUAAUAUAUGUCUUAAAUAGCAACGGAAUUGCAAGAAAAAAUAUGGAUUCAGUAAGAUAAUCAGCCAAUAAAACAGAAUUUUGGCAUGAUCCCAAAAUCAAAAAUUCUUCAAAAUAUGAGGCACAUUUUUUUCCUUCCUUAAAAAAAUACACGCGCUGUUUUCAUUCCCGAUGAGUUAUUUAAAAAAUGAUUGAAAAUCUUACACUGUACCUCUCUUUCAGUCGCAGUCGGUCAAAUCCUUUCCAUUACGCUACGACGUAUCAAGAUACGUCAAAGAGUCAUAAAGGUGCGUUUUCAAAGCUACCUGCAAACUGCAAUCGGCGACCGCACUUGCAGACACUGUAUACAAUCGGUCGAUAUCUAAGGGCGACUGCACGUGCUGCUGCCGCUUCGAUCCAAAACGGUUUCAUGUAAAAAAUACAUACAAACCAGUAGUGCAGCUGCGGCCGACUUCAUGCAGUCGCGGCAUGUGCGGUCGGCAGUUGCAGUCGGCAGUUAGGAUUCAAAAUAUAUCUUUAGCGGCGCAGUAUACCUUUUUGGAAUAUUAUGCCUACGUCGACCGUUUAUUAAUGAAAAAAAAACUGAAUAUACCAGCAUUUUCUGAUCAUUAUAUUCUAUUUUUGAAAAAACCCCAUAAAGUAGGGCUUUUAGAUAUUAAUUAACGGACCACUGUGUAUUUAAAUCCUAUGCCUUGUAGGGGAGUAUUGUACAUAGAGAAUAUAUCACUAUACUAUAUAGGUUUAAGCUUAAUUCUAGCAGACGACGAUUUAAUUAUAUUUCAGAUAUAUAAAACUUGAAAAAAUAUAUACGUGACGGUUUUAAUUUCUAUUACAAUCUGUCAAUUCGUUAUCCAUCAAUAUCGUUUAUAACUUUUCCCGCUCAAAACUGUUAACAGUUCGAUGAAUUAUUUUAUUUUCAUUUAUUUAUUUUUUAUCAUAUUAAUAACAUUUUUAAAUAUUAUCUAAAUACAAAAAUAAAAAACAUUAAAAAAUACUUAUUUUAUUUAUUGUUAACGCACACAUGUAAAUACGUGUAUUUUAUUUUUACGAAAAUUACAAUAACUCACACAAUACAUCAAAAGUUGGAAUUUUCACUUCAUUUUAAGGCCGUAAUUAAAAAUAAAUUGAACUAAAUGAACGAAUGAAGCACUCAAUAGCGCGAUCAAUUAUCUGUUUCCAUAAUAAUUGUAAAGGAGAAUAAUUUAUUGAAAUGUCAAUUUGCAUUCCAAAUUAUGUUUUUUUUUUAAUAUUUUUAAAUUAUAAUUGAAAUUGUCAGAAUGAGAAAUAUUCGUUUUUUUUUUGUAUAAUUAGAAUUAGACAGAUUGUAAUUUAAAAUAAAACCGUUGAAUAAUCAUAAUAUUUUAUAUUAAUAGUUUAAUAAUAAUUAAUAUCACAAUAUGGUAAUAGACAAAAACAGAUUCAUAGCACACUGCACCUCAUUUGAAUAUUCUAAUUUAUCGAAUUACAGUAUUAAAAAUAAAAAUAUAUCUGGCACACGGAUUGUUAAGCACACAUUUUUACCAAUAGCAAGUUCGAAAUUUUAAUAAAAAAUCAUUAAAAA
rnacentral:misc_RNA from 1 species